UUGCGGCCGCGAUAGAAGCGGCAUCCUUUUGGCGAGUGAGGCGGCGGAGCGCAGCGGAGCCGACCGAGCGAAGCCAAAAGAUAUAGCGGAUAGCGCGAAUUGUC
rnacentral:sRNA from 1 species